AGCCCGGUGUUCAGAAGCUGCCAUCUCGGACGCCUGCCCACCUUGAGGCAGUGGCGGGGGAGGUGACUGGCAUUACAAUGAUCAUAACAAGGGGACAAUGAAAAGCCCUGUUUGCUGAGAGAAGCCUCACUGCUGCGAUCAGCUCCAGCAAAAACCCAAAGCCAGAUAUUGAUAGCAGCUGGUUCCUCCUGGCCUGAGCGGGACUUUCACAGAGACCGCCACGCCCAACUUCCCUGGAGAACGCGCCUCAGACCUGCCGAAGAGGAAAGACAGCUGUGGAGGCCCUGGAUCUGGGAGGGCCAACCCAGCCCCCAGCCUGCAGGGAAGUGAGUUCAGAACCCGGAGAUUCCGCUCACCCCUAGCUGCCUGACGUGGGGAAACCCUCACCCUCUCCAUUAGAAGAGAUUGGUACCGUCUGGCCGCAUCACCAGCUCACGCUGACACACGUUUAUUGGGGGCCUCCUGUGUGCCGGGCUUGGUGGGGGAAACCACACACAUUCCUACAGCCUCCAGAGGAGGCCAAGGCCCCCUCCCCGUCAUCUCUCACGCCUCUUCUCCUUCUCCAGGGAACUCGU
rnacentral:lncRNA from 1 species